GGUGGUGAAGGUGCGGCGAUGGUGGUGGCUUAGGUAAAGGGUGGAUUGACGUGGUGGAGGUGGCUGUUGUGUUGUGAUUAAGUGGAUGUUUUCUAUAUGGCCUUGGUGAAGUAGAGGGGAUUUUGGUGUGGUGGGUUUUAGUGACACUUUGGAUGAGAUUUGGGGGUUUUGUUGAAGGGUUUUUGUUAGGGGGUGGUGGUGGUUGGUUGUUGGAAAUGGUGGACAUUGAUUGAAGUGAAGUGGUGGAAUGUUAAAGAGUAAUUGUGGGGAAGACGAAGGUGUCUGCUGCAAGUAUCAAUCAAAUAAGGGUUGUUUUGUUUUGCUACUGAGUAAUCUUGAAAUGGGUGUUUGAGAUUGGGUAUUUUGUUUUUUGAUUUUUGGGUUGGUUGUGAUUGUUGUUGUUGUGAAGAUGAUUGGU
rnacentral:lncRNA from 1 species